rnacentral:misc_RNA from 1 species
CGGCGGGAUCGUACAGCUAUGAUGGAUUGCUUAGCAAUGAAGUACCUUGCUGACCAAGGAUUAAUGCGUGCUCGUUACGCCGAACCAGCCUAUAAAAGGCGGGAGAACUAUUGCAAAAGGGAGGAGUCUGGCUGGAGAGCCAGAAAGUUGUGCUGCUUCAAGGUUUUCUCACACGGGUGCAGUACACGUGGAUGCUUUGGAGCCGCAGAAGUCCUGUUUGUCUUUGGUUUGUAAGCUUGAGUUGUAAGUGUGUUGC